CUCAGGCUAUACAGUCCUGACCUCCCACUCCUGGAGAAUUACAGCUGGUGGACAUUGGGAGCAUUUGCGUAGCCUUUGCUCAAACUGUUCUGUCAAGAAUUUCUCCUCCUGCAGCUAAAACCAAGUCACUAUUAGAAAAGGAUUUACUGAAGUUAAUUGAAAUUAUUAGCAGUAUGUUCAGUACUAAAACAUGAUCGUAAGUGUGCACACCAUCUCCAGUCAGAGAUCCCAAAGUUCUCUGAGAGCACAAUGAGCACAGUGUGACCAAAGCGAUUUCACGUUCCAGGAGGGCAGGCUGCACAGGCAGAUGAGCACUUCACUUGCAUGAGAAACACCUCUCUGCUGAAGGACCUCAAGGUGCAAACAAGCAGCAGGAGAAACCAGGCCUGCUCUUCUCACUGCAGACAUUUUUCAAGGCAUUUAGCCUUGAAACUUGAUCCAUUUGAGGGAAAUACCUGAAAGCUGAUGUGCCUGCUGAGACACAGGCUGCUAUGUAUGCUCCUGUCUGUACUGCUGCUUUGGAGAACUGGCUGUAAAAGAAGGGAUGCCAGUAAGGUAUUUCAAGUAUCACACCUGAAAGGCAUUAAAAUAAAAGGACUAACUGAUAAAAGGGAAAAAAAAAAA